ensembl:snoRNA U3 Small nucleolar RNA U3
AAAACUAUACUUCCAGAGAUCAUUUGUAUAGUUUAUUAUUAGAGAAGUUUCUCUGAAUGUGUAUAGUACCAGAAACCACGAGAAAAAGACGUAGGUUUUUUUCUUUUAAGUGUAAGAUUUGCUUUCGGUGUUGUUUUGGUAUGAUUGCUGUGAGCUGUUGAUAAUCCUUCUUCUCUUCUGUUUGGAAAGUAAGAGGGAGAAAACGUAGUCUGAGUGGC